UACGUAGGGGGCAGGCGUUGUCCGGAUUUAUUGGGCGUAAAGAGCGUGUAGGCGGCCAGACAGGUCCGUUGUGAAAACUAGAGGCUUAACCUCUAGACGUCGAUGGAAACCGUCUGGCUAGAGUCCGGAAGAGGAGAAUGGAAUUCCUGGUGUAGCGGUGAAAUGCGCAGAUAUCAGGAAGAACACCCGUGGCUAAGGCGGUUCUCUAGUACGGUACUGACGCUGAGACGCGAAAGCGUGGGGAGCGAACAGG
rnacentral:rRNA from 1 species